UCGCCGGCAACUCCAACAGCAACCAGAGAGGGACAAGCCUUCCGCUCAAACGCCAAGCUCGUUGUGCGUCUCUCCUGGUUGGUGAGCUCCAAUCUUCCAGCUGCUUCAAUUGGACCUGCCGGCUUUUGCCCAGAUGAGGGAGUUUAAAGUCGAUUGCAUCAUGGUUAUCAGAUGAAUUUCCCUGGAGAGAUUGAGGAGGGAAAUAAAUUGGAUCAUCUCAUGGUCAUUGAUGUAUUUGGCAGUACCUCUGGAUUGAAGAUGAGUUGUUUCCAGUCCUGCGGUAACUGAUGUGGUCAGUUUUGGAAUCUUAAGCACUUCCACAGAUGAGGCCUGGUGUAAGAUCUUUGUGAGUCACCGUGAGUCAAAAAAUGCACAUCAAAGUGGCCAUCCAUAAUCACCCCCCUCUAUUUCCUUCUUAUCUGUCAAUAUCUUAAGCAGUUGUGAUCACUGCUGCCUUUGACCAGAAAGGAUCAUAAUGCGGAGAGAGACUUCUAUUUCGUUUGGGAAUGAAGAAGAGGUAUGC